UAAAGGGAGGAAGAGAUGCAGAGUCACAACACAGAGAACCCUAGGACAGUGAAGCAGCCUGGCAUAAUGCCAUGACUGUGGGUACACGUCAUCAUACCACUGCAUAGACUAUCCAACUCCAAGAAACAACUUUAGUAUAAACUACAGACCCUGGGACUACAACAUGCUGAGGUACUACGAUUUCUGGAUGCAGAGCAAUUGGGCAGAAGGCUGUCAGCGCCUCACCUUGCAUCAUGUACAUUUGGAAGAACAGGUACUAAUGGGAUGGGUAUCACACCAAUUGGAAGGCCAGCUGCAGGAGAUACUCUCCAGACAUAUUGUCCGCAAAAGUCAACACAAUCUGGCAAAGUCAGCAACAUGAGUUCCCUGAAUUCUGCAGCAUGUGACUUCAUGGAUGGUGAAUCUUGCCAUAUUACAGGUAACACGAGCUCUGAAACCCUUCUUCUCUCAUUAGCCAGCAGUGCCAAGGCGAAACUGAAAUCACUUCACCUUAACAGUAUGAUAUGUAACCUCUGCAGUA